UACGUAGGGGGCAAGCGUUGUCCGGAAUCAUUGGGCGUAAAGCGCGUGUAGGCGGCCAGGUAGGUCCGCUGUGAAAACUCGAGGCUCAACCUCGAGAUGUCGGCGGAAACCAUCUGGCUAGAGUCCGGAAGAGGAGAGUGGAAUUCCUGGUGUAGCGGUGAAAUGCGCAGAUAUCAGGAAGAACACCCGUGGCGAAGGCGGCUCUCUGGAACGCAACUGACGCUGAGACGCGAAAGCGUGGGGAGCAAACAGG
rnacentral:rRNA from 1 species